rfam:Ovis aries breed Texel chromosome 16, whole genome shotgun sequence.
UCCCUGGUGGCUCAGAGGGUAAAGCAUCUGCCUGCAAUGCAGGAGAUCUGGGUUCAAUCUCUGGGUCAGGAAG